rnacentral:rRNA from 1 species
GACGAACGCUGGCGGCGUGCUUAACACAUGCAAGUCGAACGGAGAUCUAGAGGAAGCUUGCGAAUCUAGAUCUUAGUGGCGGACGGGUGAGUAACGCGUGGGUAACCAACCCAUAACACUGGGACAACCCUGGGAAACUGGGGCUAAUACCGGAUAACUUCUUAGGAAGGCAUCUUCUAAAGAAGAAAGGCGGCCUCUUGAAAAAGCUGCUGGUUAUGGACGGGCCCGCGUCUGAUUAGCUAGUUGGUAGGGUAACGGCCUACCAAGGCGACGAUCAGUAGCCGGCCUGAGAGGGUGGCCGGCCACACUGGGACUGAGACACGGCCCAGACUCCUACGGGAGGCAGCAGUGGGGAAUAUUGCGCAAUGGGCGAAAGCCUGACGCAGCAACGCCGCGUGAGUGAGGAAGGCCUUCGGUUGUAAAGCUCUGUCUUCCUGGACGAAGGCUUAAGGGUUAAUAGCCCAAAAGAUAGACGGUACAGGAAGAGGAAGCCCGGCUAACUACGUGCCAGCAGCCGCGGU